rnacentral:rRNA from 1 species
UACGAAGGGGGCUAGCGUUGCUCGGAAUUACUGGGCGUAAAGGGCGCGUAGGCGGGUCGUUAAGUUAGAGGUGAAAGCCCAGGGCUCAACCCUGGAAUUGCCUUUAAUACUGUCGACCUUGAGUAUGGCAGAGGUGUGUGGAACUCCGAGUGUAGAGGUGAAAUUCGUAGAUAUUCGGAAGAACACCAGUGGCGAAGGCGAACAGCACUGG